CCUACGGGUGGCAGCAGUGGGGGAUAUUGCGCAAUGGGCGAAAGCCUGACGCAGCGACGCCGCGUGAGGGAUGAAGGUCUUCGGAUCGUAAACCUCUGUCAGCAGGGAAGAACGGCCACUGUGCUAAUCAGCAGUGAAUUUACGGUACCUGCAAAGGAAGCACAGGCUAACUCCGUGCCAGCAGCCGCGGUAAUACGGAGGGUGCGAGCGUUAAUCGGAAUUACUGGGCGUAAAGCGCUCGUAGGCGGUAUGUCAAGUAAAGGGUGAACUCCCCGCGCUCAACGUGGGAACUGCCUUUGAUACUGGCAAGCUGGAGUGUGUGAGAGGAUAGUGGAAUUCGAGGUGUAGGAGUGAAAUCCGUAGAUAUC
rnacentral:rRNA from 1 species